ACACUUUAACAUGAUGGACUAUAGGACAGGAGCUUCAUCAUCAGCCAUGUUCUCUGUAGCUCUGCUGCUGCUGGCUGCUGGAUCCUGUGUGAAGUGUGAAACGUUGACUCAGCCAGCCUCUGUGACUGUGCAGCCAGGUCAGAGUCUGACCAUCACCUGUCAGGUCUCUUAUUCUCUCGGCAGCUACUACACAGCCUGGAUCAGACAGCCUGCAGGGAGAGGACUGGAGUGGAUUGGGAUGAGAGACAGCGGUACUUCAUACUACAAAGAUUCACUGAAGAACAAGUUCAGUAUCACUUCAGACCCCUCCAGUAAAACAGUGACUCUAAACGGACAGAACAUGCAGCCUGGAGACUCUGCAGUGUAUUACUGUGCCAGGAAAGCCACAGUGAGAGACAAUAACAGGAGAGUCGUACAAAAACUACUUCCUCUAUCUUCAACCAUCACUGAGCGUUCAGUCUCUUUAGUCCUGAGUCUUCACUGAUGGUGAGAAACUGUGGAUGAUGAAAAUCUGAGUCCUGAGUGAAUCUAUACGUUCAUGUUGUCUUAUUUCAUUUACUGAUCAUGUUAUCUUUUAAUAUUAAACUUUAUUGCUUUAUCUUUUCACACACAGAGUUUAACAAUGAUGCAAAGUUUCAGCCUCCUCUGUAUGAAAUAAAGUGUUUGCCUUGCAUCACAGUGGGGGGUGUAUUUAACCCUUUGCUCUUGCUUUGAGGAUGAGAUGGUUUCUGAAGGUCUCACUCGUGCAGGUUUAACUGCUGCAAAAGCAACGCAGUCCUUCAGGGGAUCUGUUCCCCUUGUGGACUUUAGUGACUCCAAACCACCAGAGGAGGAGCCCUCAGACCAGCAAUGACUUCAUGUCAGUUUAAUCUGACAGUUAAGAGAAUAAGAGUCUCAUUUAGUGAUGUUUCCUCUUC